UACGGAGGGAGCUAGCGUUGUUCGGAAUUACUGGGCGUAAAGCGCACGUAGGCGGCUUUGUAAGUUAGAGGUGAAAGCCCGGAGCUCAACUCCGGAACUGCCUUUAAGACUGCAUCGCUUGAAUCCAGGAGAGGUGAGUGGAAUUCCGAGUGUAGAGGUGAAAUUCGUAGAUAUUCGGAAGAACACCAGUGGCGAAGGCGGCUCACUGGACUGGUAUUGACGCUGAGGUGCGAAAGCGUGGGGAGCAAACGGG
rnacentral:rRNA from 1 species